GUUUGAGUUCUGUAUAAGUAAUAUAGAAGAUUAUAGAUAUAAGUUUUGUAAAAAAAUAUUAAAAAAAGAAUUUAUAUAGUCUAAGUACUGAGAAGGAAUAUGUUGAAAAAUAUGAAUAAGUAAAAAUUAAAUAAGUAUUGUUAAGUACCUUUAGCAUAAGGGUUUAUUAAAAAAAAUUAUGUAUUUAUAUUUCCCGAAAUGAUUUUGAGCUAUUUUAAUAUAUAUGAAAUUUGUUUUAGAAAAUUAAAUAAUAUUAAAAUAGAAAUGAAAUUUUUCUCAUAAAUCAGGAUAUCUGGUUAUUAAUAAAGGACUUUAUGUCUUUCUAUAAAAAUAUAAAUUUAUGUUAAAAUUUAUAGAAAAAUAAAAUAGGGAUAAGCUUAUUUUAUGAUUUAUAUUAUUUUUUUGUAGAGAAAGAAGAAGGAAUAAAAAUUUCUGGCUUUUGUUAUAAAAAAUUUUUGGUAUUUUUGUGUCAAUUUAAAUUAAGUUAAUAAUAAAUUUAAUUAUAAAUUUAAGAAAAAAUGAUGAAAUUAGUAUAAGUAGUGUAAAUAAUUUUUUAUUUAAUUAAAAUUAUUAAUGUUAAUUUAUUAUAAAGGAAUUCGGCAAAGGAUUAAUUAAAUUGACUGUUUAUCAAAAACAUUUCAUUUUGGUAUUAUAAAAUGUAUUGUCUGCUCAAUGAUUAUUAAAUUGCUGUGGUAUUUUGACUAUACGAAGGUAUUGAAAUAAGGCUUUAAAUGGGCGCUAAGAGAAUGAUAGAACAAUUUUACUCUGUCUUUAUUAUAAAAAUAGAAUUUAACUUUUUAUGUGCAGAGGCGAAAAUUAUUUUAAGGGACAAGAAGACCCUAUGAAUUUUAUUUUUUUAAUAAAAAGUUCUUUUUAUUAAAAGAUUAGUUGGGGCGAUUAAUAAAGAGUAUAGAUCUUUAUGUUUUAAUUAAAUUGGAUCCAAUAUUAUUGAUUUAAUGAAUUAAAUACUCUAGGGAUAACAGCGUUAUAAUUUUGGAUAGCUCAUAUAGAUAAAAUUGAUUGCGACCUCGAUGUUGGAUUAGGGUACUUUUUUAAUGAAGAAGUUAAAUUAAGGAGUUUGUUCAACUUUUAAAUCCCUACAUGAUCUGAGUUCAGACCGGCGUGAGCCAGGUUGGUUUCUAUCUUUAUAAAAAUAAAUUUUCAAUUAGUACGAAAGGAAUAUUGAAAAAUAAUUAUUUAUUUAAAUUUU
rnacentral:rRNA from 1 species